rnacentral:rRNA from 1 species
GCUCAGUAACACGUGGAGAACGUGCCCUUAAGUGGAGGAUAAUCUCGGGAAAUUGAGGAUAAUACUCCAUAGAUCAUGGGAUCUGGAAUGACCCAUGGUUCAAAGUUCCGGCGCUUAAGGAUCGCUCUGCGGCCUAUCAGGUAGUAGUGGGUGUAAAGUACCCCCUAGCCUACGACGGGUAUGGGCCUUGAGAGAGGGAGCCCAGAGUUGGAUUCUGAGACACGAAUCCAGGCCCUACGGGGCGCAGCAGUCGCGAAAACUUCACACUGGGGGCAACCCCGAUGAGGGAAAUCCUAGUGCUAGGACAUUUGUUCUAGCUUUUCUCAAGCGUAGAUAACUUGAGGAAUAAGGGCUGGGUAAGACGGGUGCCAGCCGCCGCGGUAAUACCUGCAGCCCAAGUGGUGGUCGAUUUUAUUGAGUCUAAAACGUUCGUAGCCGGUUUGGUAAAUCUUUGGGUAAAUCGGGAGGCUCAACUUUCCGACUUCCGAAGAGACUGUCAAACUUGGGACCGGGAGAGGCUAGAGGUACUUCUGGGGUAGGGGUAAAAUCCUGUAAUCCUAGAAGGACCACCGGUGGCGAAGGCGUCUAGCUAGAACGGAUCCGACGGUGAGGGACGAAGCCCUGGGUCGCAAACGGGAUUAGAUACCCCGGUAGUCCAGGGUGUAAACGCUGCCGACUUGGUGUUGGAGGCCCUUCGGGGGCAUUCAGUGCCGGAGAGAAGUUGUUAAGUCGGCUACUUGGGGAGUACGUCCGCAAGGAUGAAACUUAAAGGAAUUGGCGGGGGAGCAC